GCUAAUGAGGAUUAAUACGCUGUUGCACAGAGGAAGCCGGAUUCUCCUUUGUGUGCUGAGUCUGAUCCACAAGAAAUAAAGAUGUCUCCCUGGGUCCCUUUGAAGUCAUCUGCAUUUGGCUCCCUUUCUCUCCCUUUUGUCCUGUUUUAUCCUCGAAGAACAUUUUAAGGGUCUUGUAGAUGCCCGCUUUCUAAACUCACUCUGUGGAGUGGUUGUCCUCUAGCUGCCUAGGGGAACCCCAGCAAUAGGACACAUUUGACACGCUCCUGUGCAAAGGCAACAUUACACCUCAAGAUGUUAAAAUCCAAAGAGCUCAAAGGAAUAUAAUAUUUCUAUAGGUAAAAAGUCACGGGGUGGGCGAGGCAGCUCAGUGGUUAAAAGUACUUGCUGCUCUGACGGAGGACAAGAACUCAAUUCCUAGUCCCCCCUCACCAAUCAGGGGCCUCAAGACCACAUGUGAGUCCAGCUCCAGGGCAUCUAACACCCUCCUCUGCCCCUGGCUUCCACAGACAGCUUCACUCACACGCACACGCAUUCAUACAGACACAGAUCAAAGUGAUUGAAAUAAAUCAUCGAAACAUUUUAAGUCAUACCGGUGCCUAUAGGUGAUAUCAAUCAAAAACUGAUUGUGUAUUUGUGGAGCAUUUUGUGUACUCAUCUGGUAAGGAUGAUUAAACGUCUACUCUGGUCAUAGGCUGCCUGUCCCCUCUUGCCAGCUCAUGCAAGUGGGAUGACUUGAGCAACCGCCCAAAUGCUAUUCAGGUGUCCCCUCGGAGUUAAGUGACAUGGGAGAAGGGCCCAGAGGGAGAGACAGAAGUGAGAUGAAGCCUCUUCCUCCAGGUGGAUUUUCUCAGGAAGGACAAGGUAGCUGAGAAUGAAGGUGUUGGCUGUCGUUAGGAUGAGGAUCUGAAGAUAGUUUAGGAAGAGGAUGCAGCCUGCAAACAUCGAUCUGCAAAUAGACACACGUUAAAAUGGAAAGCAACCUCAGCAAUUCAAGGAACGGGGGCUGGAGGUGCCAAAGGAUUCUUGUCAGGAUCUGAGAGAGCUGGGGUGACUACCAGUCCCUAGUAGGUCUUGAAGGUAUGGAGAAGGUACCCAGUGUCUCUGAACAAACCCAGUGUUGUGAGUUUAGUUUGUGUAUCCUGGAGGCAGGCUGGGGAUGUGAGAGAGACCCCUUGGAGUUGUCAGUAAGGUAAGAUGAAGUCUUUCACGUGGGCCUGAAUCCAAGGACUGGUGUUUUUAUGCAACAAAGGAAAUUUGGACACAGACAUAAAAAGUAAGGGACAAGAGAAGACACGGGAGGGUGUCACGUGAUAACAGAGGUGAGGUGAGAUGCCAGGCAACACUGGAAGCUGGGAGAAGAAAGGGACCCGCUUAGAGCCUUCAAAGAGAGUCUGGACCUGCAUCCUCCUCCUCCUCCUCCUCCUCCUCCUCUUCCUCCUCCUCCUCCUCCUCCUCCUCUUCCUCCUCUUCCUCCUCUUCCUCCUCCCCUUCCUCUUCCUCUUCCUCCUCCUCCUCCUCUUCCUCCUCCUCCUCCUCCUCUUCCUCCUCCUCUUCCUCCACUUCCUCUUCCUCUUCCUCCUCCUCCUCCUCCUCCACCUCCUCCUUCUCUUCCUCCUCCCCUUCCCCUGCUUUCAGAUAAGGUCUCAAUAUGUAUUCCAAGCUUGCCCCAAACUUUUAAUCCUCCUGUCUCAGCUUCCUUGAAAGCUGGAAUCACACAGGUUUUUGCCAUGUGUCCAAUUCCUUGUUUUCAUGACCUUAAGAAAUGCGUUUCUGUGGUUUUUAAGUCUCCUAGCUUGGGGACUUUGUUUCAGCUUCCCUAGAAAUCCAGGGCACCCUUAAAGCCGCGGAAGAGUUUUAAGUGCAGGGAGUUUUAGCGGUGUAGACUGGCAUAUGGAUGGCAUUUUGGUUUUCAGAGGAUCCAGUUAGCAGCAGAAUGAACAUCACCAGACUGGAGAGGUCAGAGUGGAGAAGGAAAGAGAGAGGGCAAUGGGGGGGGUGCUCUGGAGGCUGCUGGGGAGAGGUCAUCAGAGGGGAGACUCUAAAGGCUGCUGGGAGAGCAAUGGGUUUUGGGCACUGGAGACUAGCAGGGAUCUCUGUGGAGUGAAAGAUGUGCCUGGCCAGGCCAGGUGGGCUGGGAAGGCUACAUGUUUUAUAGGGCGCUGCAUCUCUGAGCACAUGGAUUCAUGUUCUACACCACUAUGGACUUGGCAGACCCCAACUGGAGCAUCCCAGUGACAAUGGAAUUAUUUUCCCAUUUCACACAUUGAAUUGUUUCUUGUCUGAGUUAUAAUUGCUUUUUUACAUAAUAACAAAAACCCCCACUCAAGAACGACAGAGCACAAAGAACUACUUUUCACCUCCUUCACAGAUGUAGCCGAAGAGGCCGUGAUUGAGGGGGAAGCAGCUGUUUCAAACUGUGGACCAUUAAUGACUUAAGACGUGGUUGGAUCUGGGCUUAGGGGCUCUCAGAGACAAGCUAUUGACAUCGUCAUUAAAGGAUCAACACAAUUCUCUGGCCAUCAACCUGGCAUAUAGAUUAUGCAAAGAACGAUGACACACGUGACUUCCUCAGGGCCCUUUGAUGCUGGUGGAUCACUGUCUCUGCAGAAUGUUGUGAGGAACAGAGCAGUGAGUCCUACUUCUUAAGCAACACCUUCCUGGCUCUGUAAGGGGAAGGCAUUGUCUUGUGUAUCAUGCAUUGUGAGCCACUGCUAUAAUAAAAUACUCAAGGCUGUAUAAUUUUACGUUCCUCGUAGGUUUUGAAUCUGAAAGCCAGACAUCAGGCCAACCCCCAUGGAUGAGCCCUCUGGUGAAGACUUCAGUCUGAGGCUGUCACAGCAGUCACCACCCAUGGGGAUGAGGUCCCACGUGACACCUGAAGCCACAGGUGGGGGUGGCCCUAGUCUCUCUCAUUAAUGACAGCUCAUCUCUGGAGACCUGACUAACACCUUUCCAGGGAAGGCAAUGCUGUCACAGUGAUCCAGUCUCUUACCAGGCCCUUUCUCUUAAGGAGCCGUGCCAGGGACCAAGUUCCCAGCCCAUGGAUCUCAGGGAUCAGAUUGUAUCAAACUGUGCACCUCAUGAUGGUUGUCAUAGACUCAAAGCUGAGUCUUGGCUUGAGGAUCUAAAAGCAGACAAUCCGACAAAAUAACUUCAGGACAGAAUGCAGUCAGAGGCUCACUGGCCUUCCAUUUACUGCUCCCCUAGAGCAAAGGGGCUUCUGGGGAUCUUGAUGCAGUGAGGGAGAAUUUAAGCUGUGCAACCUGGGUUUGUGAGAAGGGUGAAUAUAUCUCCCACUUGUUACUCUGGACGACAUCCUUGGUCCCUGUUGGAGUAGGUCUUGGUGAAAGGUGAUAAUAUAUAUAUCAGUGAACAUUCUAGAAGUGUGAGGGGGUGCAAGAGCCGAAGAGGCCUCUAUUUGGGUGCCCCAGAGUGACUUUAGUUUUGUCCCUAUACCGUGGCAAGAGAGCCAAAGAGUAGAAGAGAUACAAAGGAGGCAGGAGACAUUGCUAGAUAAAUUCUGGUGGAUCCAGAUGGGUUUCCAACCAGCGAUCCCAGGGAAGAAAGACAGGGCAUCUUCACAGAGGUCACACGGACACGCUGAUCAUGAAGAACCACCAGAUCGUUUUAUAACUGGGAGCCUCUGAAACUCAGGAACUAAGUCAACUCAGAUGCCCUGGGUUGACUGAGAUGAAGUCCCUGUCAUCUGACAGAGAGGGUGCUUAUCGCGAGAACUUCAUCCCACUGCAGAGAAGAAAGUCGAACUUAGGUCUUUGGCUCCUUAGGUAUUUUCCCCGUGGGGACAGACACACACUUACUGCAGAGGAGCAUCCCACAUGGCAGAUGAUGCCAGAUGCAGUGCACGUUUUAUACAUCCAUCAGCCUGGGGCCCACACCAGCAUGACAGAGCAUCGCUGUCUGCUGUGGGUCCAGGGUGGAGAUCCUCCAAGUUCAACUGACUGUCACCUCCCCGUGGCCCUUACAGUAAUGCUACUUAGCCGUGGACCGUCACCUUCAAAAUGCACUGGUCCCAACGCUGGAACCAGGAUGUGUUAGGAUUUGGGUACUGCGGUGCUAUUUUAUGAUUUUGCAGUCUACCUGUACAGCCUCCUACACUUCUCCAAAGCCUGUGUCUCCUAUCACUCUUUGGAACAGGAGAUAAAGAUAUCCUCUUUCCUUUACAUAAGUGUUCUACCUUCUAUUUUGUUGAUGUGAAGCAUGCCAAGACCAAAGCAACUCAGGGGAGGAGAGGGUUUAUUUUAGCUUAUAGGCUACUGUCGUUCAUCAACGAGCAAUGCCAGGGUGGGAAGUCAAGCAGGAACUGAAGUAGAAACCUUGGAGGAUCCUCCUUACUGUCUCCCUCUCCAGCACAUGCCCAGCAGGCUUACUUAUACAGCCCGGGACCCGCUGCCUAGGAAUGACGCCUCCCAUGGUGGGCUAGCCUCUCACAUUAACCACCAAUGACGACAAUCACUCACAGCUUUCCCACAGGCCAACCUGAUUGAGGCAAUUCUUCAACUGGGGCACCCUCUUCCCAAGUGACUCUCGGUCGUUCAAGUUGACAACAGAAAACUAACCCGUGAAACAAGUAAAAUGAAGGAGAGUUUCGACUCGCCUGGAGUCAGAGAGCAGGAAAGAAAUAACCAUUGUAACAACAAUUAAUGCUGAUAAGACAGAUCAUGAUCAUUGCUUAAUUUCUUUCUCUGAGUGCAUUUCUGGUCAACAAUCCCACUAAGUAGGUGUGUUACGUGCUCGGUGAUCCAUGAAGAUAAGGUUACCCUUAGCAGCAUCAACAAGGUUCACACAAACAAAAGUGUCAAAGGUGUGUGCCAAUUUUGUGACCCUGAAGGAAGAUGCCAUUGACGUGUCAUUUAAUCCUCAAAAUAGCCUUUAGCAUUCAAGCCAGGAAGGUCAAUGCCUAGCGUUGCAUGGCCAGUUCUGCAUGUAGUCUCACCACAUGCUCUUCACCCUGCGUAUUUGGUAGUAUUUGGUAGCAUCUCCAAGGGAAGACACCAGGCUGUGGUUGGUGUAUACAGCCUUUCUUCCUGGUGCUUUCUAAGCCCAACAGCUCUCAAACUUCAGUGGACAUUAAAAUGACCAAAGAAGGCCAUGUGCCAAGGCGUGAGCACACGUGUGUGUACAUUGACACUGAUAUUAGAUUCUUGUCUUCUGUGGACACAGGGGCUCAAAGAAAAGAAAAAAAUGUGUAUGCAUGUAGGUGCUUGUCUGAAUGUGUGUGGGCAUGUGCGGGCGUGUGUGUGCAUGUGUGGGCAUGUGUGUGCAUGUGUGUGCAUGUGUGUGUAUGUGUGUGUAUGUGUGCGCAUGUGUGUGCAUGUGUGUGGAGAGGCCAGAGGCUGAUGUCCAGUGUCUUCCUCGACCUCUUGCCCUAUACAGUAAGUCAGGGCUUCUCAUUUAAACCCGGAGCUUGCCUGCUGGUUUGGUCAUGCUAGUCCAUUUUCUCCUGGGCUCCCUCAUUUCCUGAGUGUUGGGAUUAGCGGUGGGCUGCCAUGUCUGUGUGGUUCUUAUGAGGAUUGGGAGACUCAACUUCCUGAGGCAUGUAUGGUAGAGACUUUGUCUACGGAGCCGUCUCCUCCCAACCCCUCAAUGAAAUUAUAACGCGGUUAUUAAAAAAACCACACAUGUAAUAGAGAUAGAGGAUUUUAGAAACCUAAGAUAAUUCUGAAUAGCAUUUUCUUCAUGGCCUGGCUUCAGACCCUGAAGCUGUGUGACUCUGAAGUCAUGCCUGCUCUGUGACAUUGGUUUUUCUCGAGCCAGCACCCAAGACCUGCUCUCUGCUCUGACAUCUCGGGGGUUUUUCCUCAUUGUAAUCGAGUGCCCCCCGAUUUAAAAGCACGUGGACGGUCUCAUAAAUACCCAUUGACUGUCUCGUUGAUUGGCCACCCUGAUCUGACCUAAUCUGAAAGUUUUAAGUUUCUCAAAUAGCCCUUCACCUUGCCAGCUCUUAAGAGCCAAGCACUUGCCGUGUAGACCGGGCAAUUUGCCAUUGAUAAAUCUAAACUGGGGUUUCCAAUUGUAAUACACAGCAGCACAGAGUGUCAGCUCCCUACUGGAUUCACGCGGGUCUAUUCCAGACCGCCACUCACUAUAUGUGCCGUUUCCUAACACUCACCUGGAAAUCUGUGUUUACUCUUCCUUCCCACGGCUCUAAGUGCAAUCUAUUUUAAUUUCCCCCUUGCCAAAUAUUUGGUUGCUGACAAACACAUUCAAAUUUCCUUGCAUAUUUAUGCCUGUGAUUUUUGUGAUCAAAUUGAGUGGCAGGUAAAUUACUUCUGAUUUUUGUGUAUACACACGCGCGCGCGCGCGCGCACACACACACACACACACACACACACACACACACACACACGUGAAUUUCAGAGGAUAUCUAGUAUUUCAAAUAUUUUGCCAAGUGGGUUCAGUUGUAUGCACCUAGGUUAAAUGUGGUGUCUGGUGCAACUCAUUCUCCGAUGAUUGGGAAAGAUCUCUGUGAUCUUGGGGCGGGCAGUGCGGAAAGAUUGUAAGAACCUGAGGGAGAAGUAAACAUUUGCCACCAAACAGUAUUUGCUGGACAUGACAGUGGCCAUUGCACACGUGGACUCACAGCACACGCGAUUAGAUGCUACCUCUGAGAUCCUACCAGCCAGAAUCCCGGCACGGAGGGGGAGGGGCUUGUUCCAGCACAAAGGGGUGGGGCUCGCAAAACCCCACCCAUCUCUUCAUAGGCAGUUGAUGGCUGCUGGCCGGCAGGGAGAGCCAUUUUUCUUCAGGGUUAUAGCCCCGGAGAGGUGACCCAGGCUCCAGUAGAUGACCCUACAUCUGUGCGCACACUGCUAGCACUAAACCUGACCGGGGGUUAGACAAACAAAGAAAGAACACACGAAGUUUGGUGGAAAAAGUGGUGUCUAGGGGAGAAAUUGGAAGUGAGGGAACAGGGGCUAGAUUUGACCAAAACACGUUAAAUGUGCACACGGAAUCCUCAAACAAUAAAAGCAGAGUGUCCAGAAAUUAAGAGUGCAGCGUAUAGCGGUUCAGAUGGUUGUCCGCUAAACUAUUUCCUUUCUGCAUCUCGAUCUCCCAAGAAUUUUCUCUGACUUACGAUUUCCACCUCACAAACCUCACGCACUACCAUUCUGAAUGACUUUCCCCUGCAUUUGCACAGCACUUCACAGUUUGCUGAGCAUUUCUUGGUAAAUUUUUCUUUCACCCUCACAAAUGGCCCUUCGGGGAUGGCAUUGUCCAUUUCUGCUGUGGAGAGGAGCUGAGGCCAACUUACGAUGUGGCUCGGUGGAGAAUUAAAACCAUCUUUUAAGAGUUCAAGAUCCCGCUGGCUUUCCUGUACCACAGCUGCUUCCUGGUACGGUUUAAACACACAUCCCGCUAUAAAGAUUUCUUGGAAGACAGAUGGUCCACAGUUUUAAGAAGCUUCGCUGAUGUGUUUUUAAGUCCUGGGACACUAACUUAAACGGCAGAGAAAAGUGAGAGGGAGCAAAUUCCUGGCAGGAGAAUGACCUCAGCAAAACCUUGAAGACCGUUGCCUUUGCCCCGAAGGACCAUAUCUCCAAAGUUUGGGGUGGCUGGGAGAAGGGCAUUGCUUAUUUUCAAAAUGGAUUUUGAACUAGAACCAUGCAAGAGAGAAAAUGUCUCUUUCGAUUGCCAAAAAAAAAAAAAAAAAAAAAAAAAAAAGAAUGAAAAAGAAUGAACCAUUUGGAGAACAUCACACCGAAGAGGUCUGUAUUCUUUCUAGAACCUUCAUGGGUAGAGUUUCAGAUUAAAUCCCUGAGGAGAACAAGAGAGAAACAGAUACAGCCUGUCAGCAGAAGGAAGAUCCAAGUCUGACGAGGUAGGAAGACAGUCCAGGCCAUCCGUCCCUCAAGCUACUCUGUAGACGGCAGAUGAGAGGAAUUCAGACACAGGGCACAGUGAAUGUACAUCCUCCUUCCUUCCCUAGGCUCCUCUGUGCGAGUUCUGUUGAAAAGCUCACUAAGGUAGCUCAGGCGCAUGCAUGCUUUGGGUCUGGAGGAUGAAGCCCCAGAGUGACUCUGUCUGUUUGUUACGCAACUAGGACCUGCACCUUGCCCACCGCAUUAAAACGUAAGGAAGGAACUUUCUGUGUGCCGAAAGAGGGAGCUAAGAGCCAUAGUGAUGAGGCUGAGGCCAUAGCUCACCUCUGCCUUGCAAGCAUGAGGACCCUGGUUUGCCCCUGAGACCACAUGUUCAGUUCCCAGCAUCCACACUGGGUGACUUGAAACCUUCUGUGACUCCAGCUCCGGGGUCUCUAACGCCUCUGGCUGCCUCAUGCACCUGCACUCAUGUGCACAUUCACACAGACAGACAGACAGACAGACAGGCAGACAGACAGACACGUUCACACACAAAAACUGGUAAGAAAUUUAAGCAUGCAUCACCGUACUUAGCUUUCGUUUAUUUAUUUACUCAUUUUAAUGUGGUCUCUGAGGAUGGGAAUCAGUCGUUAUAUUUUCAAGGUGAGUACCUUACCAGCCGAGCCCCACUGUGGCCUAACGACUUUCAGAGGACACAUUCGGGCACAUUGAGAAUAUGUUAGGAUUCUUCACUCACUUUCAUGAGAGAAGACCGUCCCACGUUCCUCCCUUCUGUUCAGGGCAUUAUUCAUUUCAGGCUGUUUUUGCAGCACACAGAAGGAUGCUGAGCUUCCCAAAGGAGGAGAGUAAGCUUUACUUUUUUUUUUUAAGUGGAAGAAAUUGAGUCCGGUUUCAGCUAUUUCAAUUAGCAAAGCUGUUAUUGCAAAUACCCACUUCCUGCCAAAAAGUGUACCGAACACCACCUUCAGGAGGAAGCCGGGGAGACUCAACAUUUUAAAGAAAUGACUUUGGACAGUGGUUUGGACAGAGCGAGCAACUGUGGGGCUGUUUUAGGCAUUAGGGACAAAGCGCUUUCAAUCUAAGUAGCAGAGUAACAUCCCCUGAGGAGGAAGGGUGGAGCCGUGCAGAGGGCUCAGCCGGUAAGAGCGAGCGCUCCUGGGUAAGAGCACUCCUGCAACAGCGUGAAGACCUGAGCUCCGCCCCCCAACACCUACACAAGAGCUGGGUGCUCUUAUGCACGCCCAUCACCCUAACACUGGAGGAGAUGGGACAGUAGGAUUAUUUGGGUUCUCUGGCUGAAAGCCAUCUUCAGGUCCAUCGAGAGACCCGGUCUCAAGGAAUAAAGUGGAGAGUAACAGACAGGUCACACGGUGUCCUCCUCUGGCUGCUGUUCACAAGCAUAUAGGUGCACACACACACACACACACAUGCAUACAUACAUACACACACAUGCAUAUACAUACACACAUGCAUACACGUACACACAUACACAAAUGUGUACACACACAUGCAUACACACACACAUACACACACAUGCAUACACACAUACACACAUGCAUACACAUACACACACAUACACAUACACACAUGCAUACACACACAUAUAUGCAUAUACACAUACACACACACACACACACACACACACACACACACACACACACAGAGCCAUUGAGGUAGUUCAGCUUAAAGAGGUGCUUUUGGCCAAGGCUGACAACUUGGUCCAUAGUGAAGAAGAGAGCUGACUCCUGUGUGUUGACCUCUGACCUUUACACAUGAGUCAUGUCAAGUAUACAGGCCCCUUAGAAAGAAAAAGAAGAAAAUCUCCAAAUAAAUGUAAACAAAGAAGAGGGAAAAAAAUGAUAUCACAGACAUUUGCCAUCUAGUGAGCAGUAUCAAAUUCCCCCUAAAUUUAUAAACUCUACGAAGUAUCUGUAAUUCUGCUAUAAAAAAAAAAACCCAAACACUAACAUAUGUGCACUGAAAAUCUGAGUGACUUCUUUAGGCUUCUUGAGCCGUAAUUCAGACUAAUGGUUCAGGCCUAUGACCAUGAUUAAUAGGAGGCUGAGGCAUGAGGACCAUAAGUCCACAGCCAGACGACAUACACAAAGCGAGAAUCUGUCCUGAAAGUCUUAGAGGAGGGAGAUGGCAUGCAGAAGGCCUGGCUUCCGCCCUCAGUUUCCCUCCGAAGAGUUGCUCAAUGCUUAUCCAGCUUCAUGGCUACUCUGUGAGGCAGACACCUUCAGUAAAGAACACCUCAAAUCUCUACUGUGCUGCCUGCACCGCCCCAAACCCUUCGUGUCACUGGCCUUCGGUGACCUCUCCAAUAAGCAAAAUACAGAACGGCGGUGUCUGAGUCCGUUUUUCAGAUCAGUGAUAGAAGAAACGAAACAGCCUGGAAGAGUGGGUUUUCCAAAGACUAAACUCUAGUGGUUCUCCUGAGUGGGCGGAAGGUUUCCCUCAGUCAGCGGGGACUAGGAAAAAGAGAAUACGUAACAUGGAAUAAAGACCGGACACCGGGUUCUUCACAGCCCUUGAAGCUCAAAGUGGCAGGAAGGCCUUUAAUUAGUCAUCGUGAAUGGGUCCAGGGGAGCAUCCUAAUGACAUCCUCCUCCCCAAGGCUGGACGCCCGUUCAGUGCAAGCGAGGCAUGGGGGGGGGGGCACACUUCGUCAUCUGUCAGACUCUGUCACCAGCAGAGAUUUCCAUCUUUUGUAAACCAUCUUUUAUUUGGGGAAAGAAGGGAGUGUUGAUUUUUUUUUUCUACCUUUGUCUCUUCUCGGAAGGUUACCCGUAUUCAACUUCUUCAUUUCCUCUGCGCGCAGAGCCAUGUUGCGAUAGAAUUAAAUGCACAGUCAAACGACCAUGUGAGAAAGGUUUAUGCAUUAUGUUAAAACCUGCUCCCUUGAUAAAUGGAGCCAUUAGGCUCUGGAAUCCACUGCAUUAGUCUACUCAGCUCCCACCCAACAACUGGCCUGAAAGUCUCACAGAUUCCUUCAAAUGCUAAUGAGCUGAGCACCAAAGCCUCCAAGGCUGUGGAAGGAUCCAGUAUUCCAGGAGUUUAAUUCCGUUAAGAGUUACUGGUAGAUGCCCUCUACCUGACUUGGCAGUUCAAGGCUGCACACGUUAAGACAGGGGAUGUGUAAUGUGGUUCACACCCUGGAAGCUUCUGAAAAGACCCUUUGUGAGCGUUAGCAUGGCUCCCUUUAGUAUCAAUUUAGCUCCUUUAUUGUAAGGAUGGAUAGGAUGCGGAGAAAGGCCUCCAUCAAAAGGUGUCUGUCUGUCUGUCUAUCUAUCUAUUAUCUAUCUACCUAUCAUUCAUCCAUCUAUUGAAUAUCUAUCAUCUACCUAUCAUCUAUCUAUCUAUCUAUCUAUCUAUCUAUCUAUCUAUUAUCUAUCUACCUAUCAUUCAUCCAUCUAUUGAAUAUCUAUUAUCUAUCUAUCUAUUAUCUACCUAUCAUUCAUCCAUCUAUUGAAUAUCUAUCAUCUACUUAUCAUCUUUCUAUCUCUCUAUCUCUCAUCUAUCUAUCUAUCUAUCUCUAUAUCUAUCUAUCUAUCUCUCUAUCAUCCACCUCUAGACAAAAGGUAUCGUGCUGAUCAUCUUUUCUUAUGACUUUAUGCCUUCUCUGAGCUUCCCCACAGGGACAAUGACAAUAGGCAUUGAUCCCUUAUAGACAUUUGCACCUGGCAAUGUCUUGAUCCGCCAACUUUGCUUGAGAAUCUCCUGUGGGUUAAGUGCUAUAACAGAUGUUGAACCUUUCUCCUACUGUCUCUUUUUUCUCUCUGGAAGUUAAACUUUGGUUUUAAAUCUUUAUUAUUUUGUGUGUGCAUGUGUGUGAUGCUUGCUCAAACAUGUGUGUAGAGGUCAGAAGACAACUUGUGAGAGACAGUUCUUUCCUUCUAUCAGGUAGGGAUUGAACUCAUAUCAUCAGGCUUGGUGACAAGUGUCUUCUCCCACUGAACCAUACUGCUAGCCCUUCUACUAUCUUUUGAGUGACAGUGGGCUCACUUUGAGAGGCAAUUGUUAGGCCCAACUCUGUGAGUGCAGGACCCAGGUGGCAGGUUGACCAUAUCUUAAGAUGCAAUGAAAUCUUAAUUUUCUUGAAAAUAUUCUGGGCACCCUCCAGCCCCCACGAAAGCUGUGUAACCUGGUGUGGUUGUGGUUGCUGAAGAAUUAGCUUGUGGGUUAUAAAUGAUUUUCCUUUUAAGGCAGAAUCUCAUGUUGUUCAGGCUAGACUUGAAUUUGUUCACUGUAUCAGCCAAGGACAGCUUUGAACUUCUGGUCCCGAUGCUUCCACCUCAGGAGUGCUGGGAUGGCAGGCUUGUACCACCACACAGUUUCCUGUGGUGCUGAGGAGGAAGUAGGGCUUCCCGCAUGCUGGGUAAGCACCCUACCAACUUAACCCUCAUUCCCACGCAGCUAUGCAGGCAUGUCAAGGCUGACUGGCUGAAGGUGGCUAUGAGGAGAAAACUGGUCUAAGAGCUCAAUCUUUCCACCAAAACAUUUGGUUGACAGCAAGCCCCCCCCCCAACCCCCUUGGCUCCCCUCCUUUACCCCACUUCCUGCUAUAAGCCUAAGCCCUUACUUAGCUCUAUUUCUUCUAUGAGCUAGACCACAAUUUUCUGAAACUAUUUCCCUUCAUCUCCUGCUCCCUAGACACAGACGACAAGAGCCACACUCUUGUAUUUGAUCCUGUGACCAGUGCCACUUUAUCUAAGUAUGCUGAGGCACCGAAGAGAUCAUACUGAAGUUGCUCAAGGGAUUGAGUCCUGCCCGGGGAAACCAAACCAAAUGUGCACUGGUUAAGAACCAGUGCAAGCUUAAGUCGCACUCAUUAAUGACUCCAAAACCUAAUCAGUAACCAUGAAUCAUCAAAAGGAAGGGGGAAAACAUGCCUACCAAGGAAGGCAAGAGCCAUCUUCACAGCCUCGUCUGUGCAGUGUCCUCCACAGCACUGGGAUUCAUGGGAAAUUCCAGUGGUCUGGUGGGUGCCUCGCAUACCACUGAGCACAGAGCCAGGGUCUCUAGAGGCUGAAUUUAGGUCAAACACAACGUGAGGGGGAAAGAGAGCCAGAGGAAGAUGGAUAGGAGAUGACACUUGCUCACAAGGAGUAAGAAGAGAAGGAAAAGUCUUCAUAGGUAAAGAAGCACGACCACAUUGCAAGCCACUGAGGAGUUUGGGUCCAUAAGACGGAAAAACUAAGGAAUGUGGUAAAGAGAGAGAUGGGGGGUUUAUUUCUGACCGGUGAAGUACAGACAGCAGCCAGGAUUCCCGAUGGAGACGGGUUGACAUUAGUCAGGUAGUCUAGAGCUAGGAGUGCACAGAUUGGGAGAGAAGUCAAGAAAUAUUCCCUCAUACAGGUGAAGACUUUAGAACAAACCAUGUGGCCAGACAGUUCUAUGGGCAUAGGUUUGGUGACUAAGAAAUGGGGUGGGCCUGUAGCCAUUCCUGAGUUCUUAGUCAUGUGCCUGGUCACCGCACCACAUUCAUUUAUUUCUUGAUCUCGUAUCUUGGCCAUUUCUGGUCAAGGUCAUUGCUUAGACCUCAUCUGUCUCAGGGAAAUCUCCUGCUUCAGUUUCCACAACCUAAAUCCACAGAACAUACCCAGAGGUCUUGCUGGCAGUAAAACCGAACAGCAGCCUCAGCCCCUACGACGGAAGAUCAUCUGGCAGGCUCCAGAUGGAUCCCGGAGUCAUGUCUGACUUAAAAAUGGCUGAAACACGGAAAUCGUUAACUAGCCUCAAUGAAAACAUAUUAUGAUCUUACCACGCUCCAGGUACAGGGGCAAUACUCUUGGGGAGUUCACAUUGUAUUAUAGAAGCAAAAUCAGAAUAAUUUCAGAUAAUUACUAUCUUAGAGAAAGAUGAGGAAGGGAAGACCCAAGAGGCUAACAAAUCCUUUCCGUAAAUGGGCAGGCAGUGAAUGCUUUCGGCUUUCCCAGCCGUUAGCUCUCGUCCAAUGGCUUAAGUGGCCUGCGGUAACACAGAAGCAGCCACAGACAGAAUGUCAACGCACACCAUGGAUGCUAAUAAAACUUUAUUAACAAAGUUAGGCAGCAGGCACAUAUGGGUCACAGUAUCUAGUUCCAUAGUCGUGGGACGGAGACUUGAGGCACUGUUUAGCUGCUGUGUUACAGACAGACUUUUCUCUGUGACCUCAGCAGGUAGAGCAGCCGGGGACACAGCUAAGAAGGGGACAGAGGCGGGAGAAGCAGAGGUGUGGAAACAGAGAAAUCGGCACCACCUUCACUUGAUCUUAGCCAAAAGGCCGAGAAGCGAUCGGCACCACCUUCAAGCCGGGUAAGUCACCCAAAGAACCGUGCUUAACCUGAGGAUGGUGCUGUGGCUGCAAACGGUUUUGGAACCUCAUCUUUUGUCAUUUUCGGGGCUCAGAAGAUGGGCUUGGGUGGAGGUCACUGCCUGGCGACUAAGCUUUUCUGUGACUGAGGAGGUAGAACUGGAAACUGCGAUCCUCAUUGUAAGGUUCGAUGUGAUAUCAUAUCGUGCUGAGCUCCUGUUUCUGAUCUUGAAUCAAAUACACUGGGCACAGUGUAUCUGGGCACGGAUGGAGACUGCCGUAGGCACAGUGUAUCAGGUAUGGGGAGAUAGAUACACCUUUUAUUCCAGCACUCACGAAGGAGAAGCAGAGGCAGAGGGAUUGCUGCAAGUUCGAGGCCAGCUUGGUUUACAUAGUGAAAUCCAGGCUAGCUAGGGACACGAACCUAGUGAGACCCUGCCUCAAAAAAUACAUCAUAAAUAAAUCAUUAAAUAAAUAGCCGAACUUGGAGGAAGCUCAACACCUCAAAUGUAUUUAAAGCACGCCCUGACCAAGGACUGUUACUUAAGAGAUUAUAAAAAGAUAUGGCUGGUUGGUGAUUUUAAUAAAAGCCACUGGAAGAAAAUCGUGAUUCUUACAUGGCUCCACAAGGGUCUCUCCCAUUAUCUGAGAACAGAUUCACCUUGAAGAUGAAAAUUUAACAACCUGCAGACCAAAUUUGGCCUUCAGAUUCAUUUUGCACGGCUGUUAGCCAACAAUUCGAAGCCAGAAAAUUCAGCCUAAGAAUCUGUACUCGGGGCUGGGGACUCAGCACCUUGGUGGCAGAGCUCCUGCCUAGAGCUCAGGCCCGUGGCUCAUUUUCCCGACUCCAAGGGAGAGGACAAACUGGGUUUCUGGUUUGCUUAUUGAACACUGGCUGAAUGAGGCCUUCUCCUAGUAAUAGGGGCUGAAGCAAAGGCCAGCGGACCCUUCACGCAGGCCUGAGCCACAGGCUUGGUGUCUGUCUGUCUGUCUGCCUGUCUGUCAGUGGAAGGUUUUCUAGUCUGGGAAAAGUCUGUAAGAAUUUGGAAGGGAGAUGCAGGAGGGGGGCAUCCAGGAGAAACAGGGAAGGGAGCACAGGAUAGAUAUUACCAACAUAUAAAUGAAAUUAAAAAUAUAUAAAAUUGUGAAUAGAAAUUCUAUUAUUUUUAAAUUAUUGACUUAGUUUUUAUUUGGUUUUGCUUGUUUGCUUGCUUUGGGGAUAGGGCCUUGCUAGGUAGCCUUACUUGGCCUGGAACUCACUAGGUCGACCAGAUGGCCGUGAAUUCACCAACUCACAGAGCCUUGCCUGCCUGUGCCUCUCAAGUUCUUGGAUUAAAGGUGUGUACUACCGUACCUGGCUAGAAGAAAUUAUCAAUGAAAAAGUACCGACAAUCUGUGAAUAUGAAAUUACUGUCUGGUCGUGGGGCAGGCAAGGAGGCUCACUGGGUAAAAGUGCUUGCUGUGUAACAAUGGAGACCAGAGGUCUUGCUCCAGCAUCCUGGUGAAAAGCCACUGAGGGUAUGGGUAGGGCAGGUGUGGUGAGGAUGGGGUGGGGGUGGGGGUGGGGGAUGGUACCUGCCUGUAACCACAGCACUGGGAAGGCAGAGGCAGGUGGUUUCCUAGGACUUACAGAUCAGCCAGGCACACCCGAUCAGGAAGUUCCAAGUCCCCCAAAUCUGUGGACACUGCAGGUAAUCAAGUUGGCUCCUACAUUAUCAAACACCCAGCAUUAUGGGGCAAUGUAAAGAAAGAGACAGCCCAGAAAGGAGAGUGACAACCUCAUCAGCCAAUAAACCUCCUACAGAUAGUCAUUCACCAACGUGAGGCUGGGAUCCCUGGGAGGCCCUUGCAAGAGAGCAGCGCCCCCCUUCAGGUCGAUUUGUUUGUUCAGUCUUUUGUUUUAGCAGCCUCCCUGGACUUUGUGUGAAGCAAACUGUUUCCAAAGCUUCACGGGAGGAUUUUGGAGUUGGACUUGGGAGAGCUUGUUAGCGUCUCUCGUGGAUUUGCUUUUGUUCACACUCUGUAAUAUUUUCCUUAAAAGAUGCGUGGCACAGGUGUGCUCGCCUUCCUCUAGACUUAGAAUAAUGUGCUUAAACGAGCUUGACAAGAGGUAGGGCGUGCGGCUUUCUUUUAGCUGUCUGAGAGCAAUCUCACACACCGGAACUGCCAGGCAGCAACUGAAAACCGAAAGACUCCAUCAUUAUCCCAAACAGGUGACACGUUUCUCUACUUUCUCUAAGUAGACCACGUAACUAAGAUGGACCACGCCUGGGUGGAAGGGAAGCAAGAGACAGGAGAAAAAACCACCGGUACUGGUUUCCGGAAUCAGGAUGUAACUGGUCCCAAACAGAGCCUGUGAAUCACCUGCUGUGUUUCCCUCCCCAAGCUCCCUCUGCGUCUGACUCCAUCUUCUAAUGCUCAGAGCAAGAUGUGUGGUCCAGACCCCCGGGGACCUUUAAAUCUGUUUUAUUUAUUUAUUUUAACACCAAUAGGCUGUGGACCUCAUGGCCAAGAACUGAUUCGUACAACAGCCACCCCGCCCCCACCCCGUUCGCUGAGGAUGUGGCUAUAAAUUAGGCACAAUGGUCUUGUCCCCACGGCCUCCAUACCCGGGUCGGUGCACAACACAGGACAGUGGCUUCUAUGGACCGUCUGAGUGAUCAAAUUUCUGCUAAUGCCGAGCUUCAUUAAGGCCCCAGCGCACACUCCUGCUUUGGCGCAGGUCCCUCCAUGGAGUGGUAAUUCCUACAUUUGCGCACGGAUCAAAAAUGUUUUAUGUAUGUGCUUUUUCCAAAGAGUCUUAAAAUUUUCUUUUCUCGGCAUAAUAGGUUGCUACUCUUCCUAUUGAUUUCCCUAAAGAGUACAAGCCUAUUCCAUUAGAAAUAGACAAGAAAACACACACACACACACACACACACACACACACACACACACACCCCACACUGGCUUUAAGCUGAAUGAAUUCUGUAUCUUUUUCUUCUUCUUUUAAUCAUGUAUUUUCGGAGAAGGGGGCUGGCUACGUUGAUCAGGAGUGGAUGUGCAGUGUGGUGCCUACUGCAGAAGGCUGGUCUGGUGCUGCUAUGCAUUCAAAUGCUAAACACAGGUCCCCAAGAUCCCCAUGUCCCUGAAGCCAAGUGAUGCUUUGUAACCUUGCUCCCCAAGUUAACUGGUCAAUAAAAGGCUAAAGCCUGUGAUUGGGCAGUAGAGAGAGGCAGGUGGAUUUUCAGUGACCCGGCUGGUCCCAGGGAGCGAUUGGAAAAAGGAAGGAAGGACUCAGAAAGAGGAGGAAGCCACCAUGACAGGAGAUGGACUGUGAGCAUGUGGCCGGGAGAGACAUUGAGUAACAGGGGACAUAUGGCUCACAUUAAAAUAGCCCCAAAACCUGCUCGACCAAGGCUUACAGCUUGUAAAUCAAAUACAAAUACUGGGUUGCGUGUGUCUUACACGGGCUAGCUAGACUUUGUGAUUCUUCCUGCAGCCCGAACCUGUUCUCUGCACCAAGUUUUCAUGGGGACGCUUGCUUAGCAUCUGACAGGGGCAUGGAAGCGCCUGCCUGUGUAAGAUCCUGGCUCAGAAAACAAGCAAACAAAUGACGUAAAUAAAAUAAAGAGGGAAAAUUUAAAUGCCAAAAGCUAGCGACAGACAAGCAAAGGUAGAUGCUGCAAGAGGGCUUGGAACGGUGAAAACGUCUGUCCUGUGGUGGCCAAGUGAGCUAACAGAAUGAUUAGUAUCCAGAUGAAGGAAUGUUACCUGGAAAUAAAAGGGAAUUAAAAAGCUGACCAGUGCCCUUGACCGAGCCUCGAAAACACACCGAACAGGAACAAAAAUAAAAGAAAUAAAACUCAAAUACUUUCAGAUGUUAUUUACUUUAAAGUUUCAAGAUAGACAGUCCAUGGAGACAGAAAGUGGUGGUUGAGAGGUGCGGAGUGGAUCACGGGGGAUUCAUGUGGUGUCAGUGGAGAUGUGGUCUCUUAGGAGGUGAGGAAGACAUCCUAAACUAGACUGUAGCGAAGGUUGUGUGACUCCAUGAAGUUUCUACAAUAGGCUUGUUUGCAUUUUGCACUUUAAAGAUGUGAUUUCUACAUGUGUGCAUUAGGCGUAUCAAGAAAGAGUGCAGCCAGGCAUGCAGAUUGGUUGGUAGAGGGUUUACUGAGCGUGCACCAUGCCUAGCAAUCUCUCCGUUCCAUUGCCAGCACUGCAGAUGUUGGGCAUAACAGUACAUGUUUGUACUCCCAGGAGUCAGGAGGCAACACCAGGAUACGCAUGCAUUCAAAGUGUCCCUUGCCUAUAUGGGAAACUUGAAGCCAGAAAUGGCUGGAGAUCCUGUCUCGAAAAAGGAAGAAGAAAAGAAAGAAAUAGAAGAGUGUAUGACCAUGCCAACGUGUGCUGUAUACAUGUGUGAAACUGUCAGAAAGUAAAUUUAAUGAAUACAAAAAGGUAGGGAGGGAAGGAAGGAGGGGAGGAAGGAGAAGAGGAAGGAAAGAAGGAAAAGAGGAAGGAAAGAAGGAAAAAAGGAAGGAAGGAAGAAAGGAAGGGACAGGAAACCAGGCAAGCUCUAGCCAUUGAGCUAUGUAUGUAAAAGAACAUCAAUCAGGAUCUCAAAGAAAUAUUUGUGAACCCAGGUUCAGAGCGGCACAGACAGCCACCACAGUCUACACAGCCAAGAAGCAGAACAGCCGACUGUCCGUCCAGAGAAGGCCAUUCCUGCCGUUUAUUCUCGACUGAGGGAUCCCGAGUUCAAAAUGAGUUAUGGAAAUACUGACUUCUCUGUUAGCCACAUGAAAAUUCACCUCCUAGCUGUUCUGAGGAGGCCUGUAGCAUGGCUGGUGACUGCUGUUGGGGCCUCCCCUGAGUCAAUGGGCAUUGUCCACUCCAGCGUCUGAUAUGAAUUCCGGACGUGUUCUAGAACCUUCUCAACUGUGCUGUUCCUUCAUAGAUGAUGGCUUUUUUCUACAGACUCUGGAGCUUGCCAGACACUAAGAACCUUUGUAGAGGGACUUGGAUGAAACCCAGAUAACAUGCUCUACGGUAAAGUUCCAGGCCAACAAGGGGCUCUGUCUCAAACAAAAGUUGGGAAGCACCCCGGGGUACUGACAUCUGAAGUGAUUCUCAGGCCUCCACACACACACUGUAUAUUCAUAAUGAUCUUGUUUUUCCAAAGACAUUGUGCUGUGUGCUUCGCCUCCAAGUCCUUUCUCCGCUCUACUUGAUAGGCAGGUGCAAGCUUCCAAAGUCACCUGUGACAGAAGCCACGUGUGGUGGUUUGUAUAUGCUUGACCCAGGGAGUGGCAUUAUUAGGAGAUGUGGCUCUGUUGGAGUGGGUGUGGCUCUGUUGGAGUGGGUGUGGUCUUGUUGGAGUGGGUGUGGUCUUGUUGGAGUGGGUGUGGCCUUGUUGGAGUAGGUAUGUCACUGUGGACAAUGUGCUUUAAGACCUUCGUCCUAGCUGCCUGGAAGCCCUUCUUCUCCUGUUCGCCUUUGGAACAAGGUGCAGAACUCUCAGCUCUUAGAAGCUGUCAAUGUUUCUGACUUGAUAAUGGACUGAACCUCUGAAACUGUAAGCCAGCCCCAAUUAAAUGUUGUCCUUGUAAGAGUUGCGUUGGUCAUGGUGUCUGUUCACAGCAGUAAGACCCUAACCGAGAUACCUCGUCUGCAUGGGGUCACUAUGUGGAGCGCCUGAAGAGUACACCAAGACAAGCUGGGAUAUCUUUGUUCACUAAGGAUUGUUCAUGCCCCAGCUUGGGGAACAGAAAGAGGUAAUCACAGGUAGCCUCUUAGGGAAGGUGACAUCUCCGGAGAGUUCCCGAGUGAACAGGGCAUUGGGAUGGGAAGCAAAUCUUGCACAAGAACUGAGCUUACGCAAGAGAGGGACUAGAAGGAGCCGGUUGAUACAGUUGACAUCCAGCUAGAGCUGGGGCAGGCCCUGGGCUCCUGGUUCCUCUCAGCUGAUUUGUCUGCCAGAUCCACAAGCAGCCACCAUCAAAAUUGCUUUCCUUCCCUAUGCAUAGCGACCUGGCCAGGGCCACUGACAGCAUCUCACAAGCAGGGUGGCAGGGACAACCUCCAUGACCCUAGGAGGACACACAGUUCUUCUACUCACACACAGACAUGGAAAUUGAACCUCGGGACCCGUGUAACUUCCCAGAUUCAUCAGGUAAUGAGGAGCAGGGUUAGAAAGUGGUCUGAGGCAGGAGAAUGGCAUGCAGGGGCCAUCCUUAAACAUACAAGUGUUGCUAUCCCACAGCUGUGGUUCCCCUGGGGGGAUAAGCAGCAGUGUCUUGGGACACUGGCUGACAACACUGACCACCUGGGAGUGGCUGCUACUAGCCGUCAGGUUAGAAGCCAAGCACGCUUGUGGUUAUUUGAAUGAAAAUAGGCCACACAGACUUAUAUGUUUGAAUACUGAUUCCCCAAUCAGUAGUCCUGUUUGAGGAGUCUUAGAAGGUGUGGACUUGCUGGGCAAGGUGUAACAUUGGGAGCAGGCUUUGAGGAUUUAAAGCCUCACAUGUCUCCUGUGAGCUGUCUCUGCCCCCUGCUUGUGGAUGGAGGGGCGAGCUCCAAGCUGCAGCUCCUGACAGGCACAACCCUGCUUUUACUGCUCCGUCACAACUCUGGAACCAGAAGCCCAGAUAACCACUUUCUUCUGUAAGUUGCCUUGGCCUUUUAUUGCAGCAACAGAAAAAUAACUAAGAUUUCUCUCACCGAGUGCAGGCAACGGGAUGGUCUGCCUCUAAGGGUCAAAAGGACAGGGGAAAGCCAGCCUCACCCAGUUUGGUGUAGGUCGGGAAAGAUGCAUGGAUCCCUGGCCUUCUUGGAAGUAAAAGUUCAGAGUUUCCUAAUGUGGUGUGGGCCACAGUAGAACAGCGGAGGGCCUAGGUAAUUACUGGUCUAGGGCAUCAACUGUGGGAAACAGCUGCAGCUCGUGGGGGCAGCACCACGUCAGGAUCAAAGCAAAGCCUUACUCUCCUUUUAUUUGUGGGGUACUAGGGAUUUAGCCAGUCUUCACAUAUGCUCAACAAAUGAUCCACCCAUUUGAACCUGCCGGCCCCUCUUUUUCUUUUGAGACAGGAUCUUACUAAUUGGCCUAGGCUGCCCUUGAACUCACUCUGUAGCCCAGGCAAGCCUUGAACUCAACAAUACCCCCCCCCCCCCCCCCGCUCCAGCUUUCCUGAGCAUCUCACUGUCCCACUGGGCUGGGUGUAAAGAGAGGUCUUCAGCAGAGGACCGGAAGCUGUCUCCCCGGAAGCAGACUUCCCACCCCUGCAGUUUCAGCUUGAUGAGGUGCCCGUGGGCUGCACACGGGGAGGGGUCAGAGGUCAUCUGCCGGAAACCUCCCUCCUGCCCGCGCCUGGCAAAUCAAAGAACCGGAGGUAGGUGUCAAAGCGAGAGGGAGUCUUUCCAUCCCACCCCAAGGCAAGGCGGCAUGAUGGCCCUGUGUUGGAUCACAAGGGACUCGUCUGCUGAAGAAAGGGGGCCUUUCUGGGGGCCACAGAAAAGUAAAUGGCCAAACCCUGGGCAGGAGAUGAGAGGGCUUGCCUUCUCGGUAGAGCAGGAAAACAAUUAAUCCCGAUUUUGAAGAAAAGCAGUCCUGCCUUAGAAGUCAUUAUUUCACGCCCUUUCUUUCUCUCUCUCUCUCUCUCUCUCUCUCUCUCUCUCUCUCUCCUUCCUUCCUUCCUUCCUUUCCUCCUCUUCCUCCUCUUCCUCCUUCUCCUUCUUCUUCUAGGUAGGUGGAGGAAUUUGAAUGGGAAUGAGGAUCAAAGAGCAGAGGGAAGGGCCCACCACGGCUCUUCCUCCCUUGUGUGUGUGAGGAGGACUGAUUAAGAGCUGUAAGGUGGGAGCAAGGUCCCUGCUGUCUGUACCCGUGUACUGAAAAGGACACAGAUGCCAGCCAGGUGUCAGCCAGGAUCCCCCGUGGGUCACUUGCACACCUGUGGCCUUGGCCUUGCCAGCCCUCCCCUCUGAUCGCCAUUCCCAGAGAAGGAAAGGUGAUGACAUCAUGUACUUUAUGGGGUCAAAGCAGACAGAGAGCUCGUCACCAUAGCACAUUGCACAGCCACAUCAUGCACCCCCUGUAUGGGACAAGCUGACGCGGAGAAGAAUUCUGGUGUGGAAAGUAUUUUAUCACAGGAACACUCUCCUAUCUCAGCUCUGGUAGAGAAUGAUUCUUCUUGUCCCCAAGUGGCCCACAGGUGUGUUUUUCCUGGUUGUCAUAGUAAUUUUUUUAACUCCAAAAUAUUUGUAGUUCCUCUGUUCCCUUUUUCCUCCCUUUAGCAAUAUAUCUUCUGAUAGCUAGCUGAACAUUGGGGCCAGGCAGAGUACAACUUAUAUGUGUUAGCUUCCCUCAGGUAGAUGGGCCUUAUCAGCUACAUAUCAGACAACGAGAUGACAGGCGUUACAGCUUUUAAGGACAGCCACAGAGCACUCCUGCCCCUGUGUACACUGGAGACGGACAAAGCCUGGAGUAAGCUCAUCUGGAAGACAGCGCACUUUACUACGGAAUCCAUUACCCUGAGAGCCCUGCCUGUGGGAUGGUACUAGGCACCAACCACAUUCACAAUGGAUCUAUCCAGUUCAGUGAAACUCUUCUGGCACACCCAGAGCCAUGUCUCAGUUUCAAGUUGGCCUUUAGCUUCCACCGUAUUUCCCCAUAUAUGCGCUUAGCAUAAUCUUGGCCUUCACAGUCCUUCAGCUCCAUCUCCACUCAGUCACCUUCAGUCAUCCCUGCCCUCGGAUGUUGCUGUAUCCACAUGCCGCAUCAUGGUUGCAGGACACCAGAAGGACGCCCUCUCCGGGCUCAGGUAUCAUUACUGACUAAGGACAAAUUUCUUCUGUUUGGGAGCAGCCCUUUCAUGGAGGGCUGAGACUCGUCAGCCAGCGUGCCCCUCAUCACAAAGAGCUGAGAAGGCAACCCAGACUUUCCCUUCCUUGUCAAACAAACUGGCAACCUAAAGUUACACAAUCUAACAUUCCCGGAAACUUCAAUUUGCUUCUCAAAAGUCUAGCUGGCAUCAGUUGGUGGAAACCUCCAGCUUCCCUCAUUUCUGUUUUUGUGAUCUGUGGGGCGGUACCAAGAUACCUCGGUGCCUAACCUGCGUGCGUUUGCAAACUCUUUGGAGAGACAUAAAGAAAUGCUGCAUUCAAAUAAAGACCGGUGGUUCCGAAGAGGGGGGAGAUACUGCAAAGUCAGCCUGGUACCCUGUUGAUCUUAAAGCUGAAACUUUGAUCUACAACCUUUCCAGCAACCACAUUUGGACAGGAGGAUCAGAAAUAAAACUGUUUUUUUUUCCUCA